rnacentral:rRNA from 1 species
UACAGAGGUCUCAAGCGUUGUUCGGAUUCAUUGGGCGAAAGGGUGCGUAGGCGGCGCGGUAAGUCGGGUGUGAAUCUCGGGGCUUAACUCCGAAACUGCAUUCGAUACUGCCGUGAUUGAGGACUUGGAGAGGAGACUGGAAUUUACGGUAGCUGGUGAAAUGCGUAGAUAUCGUAAGGAAGACCAGUGGCGAAGGCGGGUCUCUGGACAGU